UCAUAACUAAUUCAGUUCACUAGCUGUCAUAACAGAAAAUCCUAACUGAAAUUCCACAAUCCCAAUGCUAAAUCACCUAUAAAUUCACUCCUCAUGAUUCAUCCAGAGGUGAAUCAUUUUUCUUCCACUCUCAAAUCCCAAUCAGUUACACAUUCAUCGCUCUCCACUUUGAUUGGAAUCACUCUUCAGUUCCAAUUAUCCUCACUCACACUCAAUUGAUUGAAGGUUGCUCCAUCACCUCCAAUCAAUUUUUCACCCUUAAACAUUCAAUCCCCAAUCGUUCAUCAUCAUCAUGGAGCUACAAGAUUCAUUUGCCCGAACCUUCAUCCUCAUUAUUCUCUAUUCACUGAUCGUCCUAUGCAACAAUCUCCAUCACUCUGGAUUCAACCUCUCAAUCUCUCAACGAUUCACUCUCAGAUUCAGAACAACUAGGACCACAAAUCAGAGGGGAAGAAGAAGAAAGUGGAGGAAGCAAGAGGUUCAAAGGAAAGAGGAGGGAGUACGAGACCUACCUGAGACUCCAUUGUCAUCGCCGCCUACGAACUACUCCGGUAAGCAUCCUAAAUUUCAUCUUGAUUUUUCCGUUUCUAAUUACCUGUAGGUUGAUUAUAGGAUCGGUACCAAUAACCCUAAGGUCUGAGAGUGAAUCAUGGCGUGAUUGUUAUUCAAUUUUAUUAGGAACACCUAGGGCUCUUGAUAGCUUUCAAUCCGGUUAGAGACCUAGGCUUGGGAUCUUGAGGAAUUGAGCUGAGAUUCGGACAGAGGAGGUGAAGACGAAUUAGUCGAUGUAUCGGAUUCCUGUUUUGGUGGCCACCGACGCCGGAAGUGAUUUCCGGUGCAGUGGUCCACGGUGGUGAUGAGUGAAAGGCUCGCCUGAACCAUGUCUCUGGUUGGCACGUGUUUUUAGGUUAAUUUUUCAAACCAAAUUCUCUUUCCCAAUUGCCAGACGUGACUGAAUUGAUGAUGGUCAUGAGAUUGGGCUUCUGCAAGCCAAGCCCAACAUUGUUUCUAGUUAUCACCCCCAUAUUCCAAACACACCCCAUGGCCAAAAGGCCAAUUUCAGUGGGCUUAACACCCCAGGGCCCAUACGCCUGGAGUGCUUCAUGCAACCUUCUUUCGAGCAGUGCAACUCUGGCCCUUGUUUUUCACCUUUACUUGUGUUGUUCAUUUUCUUUCUUGUUUUAAUUCUUUUUAUUGCAAUUUAAUGUUUGUUUUAAUUAUGGACGGUGAUUUUUGAUUAGUUAUCCUGCUUAGAAAGUAUAAAAAAAAAUCCCUUUAGUGUUAAUUGCCACGUAGGAUUUUAAGUAGAUAUGUUUAGGAUCAAUCCAUUUUGAUAAUCCUUGAGAAAAUGCCUUAAAAAAAUAAUAGUUUAUCCAUGUGAUUUGUGAUGUGAUUAAUCAUUCUAAUUCUUGACUUCUAAUCCAUGUUUAGAUAGGUUUAAAGAAUUGAAUUAGUUUCACAAGCUAUGUUUGAUUUUAAUAUCAUUUUAAUUGUUCCAUUUCUUCGAUUGUGGUUAUUAGAUCCAAAUUGAACAUGAUAUUUCAAUUUGAUGUGAUGUGUUAGCAUAUCUAUUUAUUCCAACCGUGAUCAUUAUGUCAUUUGAUCAUAUCAUUUCACUCCUUUCAAUUAGCAUUUUAAUUCCAUCUUUAUUAAUGCAUACUAGCCAUAUUUAUUUUUUGUGGUGACAUGUGAGUGAGAGAUCCAAACCAUCCAAGUUAUUCCUUUUAUUUCCAUUCAUUAGCUUGUAUUGUUUGGAGUGCCAUGUCACUUGUAUGGUUUAGGCAUGGCAUAUGAGUUGUAAAUUGUGUUUUCUUUUCAUGCCUUUAUGUUUGUAUUGUGUGGAUCCCCCCAUUGUGGGUUAAAUGUUCACUCUCCCCUUAGUUAUGCAAUAACUUAGAUUUAUUGCUUCCUAGCUAGUUUACUAUGCAUGUUAAUAACCAAGAUAAAAUACAAAACGAUAAACAAAGCAUUUAAAAAUAAAUAAAAGGUACUUGAUUCAACGUCAAGUUGUUUUCCGAAUAAAACUCACACCAUUGCAACGUGAAUGCUUGAUCCAACGUCAAGCAUUCUCCAUACACUCCAUGAUCCAUUAUAUCAUCUCUCCUUCAUUCCUCCCCUAAACCCAUUCUGUCAUCUCUUCUCCAUUAUCUUCUCAACCUUAUUCUAUCUCUCACCUCCGUCUUUCACUCUCACUUUUUCAUAAUAAAUUCAAAUGCUUGAUCCAACGUCAAGUACCUUUUUUUCAAAAUCAUUUUCAUAACAAAUUGGAAUUUUAAAUGGGGUGUACGUGUUUGUACACAACAUUCAAGUAAUUGGGUUGUCGGCCGUACCUAACCUGAGGACCCGACACUUGACUUUCCCCCUUUAAACAUCUAAUGAUUCAAACAAGUUAGAUCUAGGUGCUAAGAGGAAGAAAAAGAAUAGUUAGGGCUCCAUUGUCCUCUCGAUUCCCAAGUACUCUAAUUGUUAACUGUACUUAGUCAAGGGUUAGAGACUUGUCUCCUUUUAAGUUCCAACGAUUAGACUUGCCAAACUCCUUUCACAAUUCAAUCUCUCUUUUUGGAUGAAAAAGAGUGGUUAGGACAACAUUGUCCUCUCAACUCCCGAGUUAUUGGACCGUUGAUUGUAUCUAGCCAAGGGUCUAAUGCUUGUCUCCAUGCAUAAAAUCGAUCCCAACAAAUCAAAUCAUCUUCUGCCUUAGGGCCUUCUAUUCAAAACCUUUCAAUGAGAAUGUAUUAAUUCCGUUCUACCAUGAGCGAAGCUUAAAGCCUCCAUGUGCGGGCAAGUAAUGUUUAACUGCUAGAGUGUGAACCAAGCGUAUCCACUUUACCGUAAACAAGCAAAUACGUUCCGCUCCCAUGACAGAGUAUACAAGCAAGUGAAUAGUAGCAUGCUAACGUCAAUACUGUUAAGUAAAAAUAACGAAACAAAUACGCCAUUUUUGAGCCGAACUACAAAGCUCUGACUUCCCUAUUGCACGUGUAGGGAUACGCGGGCCCAAAUCCUUGGCGAGCACACUAACUUAAAACUUAUUUUCUCCCCCAUCUUAUUCUAUCAUCCCACCCAAUAGUAAGCAACUUACAGAUAAAUAAGCAUCCAUACACAUUUGAUACGAGCAAGCGGUUCCCAUGGAGUACCAUGGAUAUGAGGGGUGCUAAUAUCUUCCCCUUGCAUAACCGACUUCCGAAUCCGUUCUUGGUUGCGAGACCAUUUCUCUCAUUCGGGGUUUUAUCGCUAUUUUCCCUUUCCUUUGGAAUAAAUAAAAUCCGGUGGCGACUCUGUAUUUUUCGUGGUGCUUCAACUGACGACUCUGCUGGGGACAAUAUGGAGUUCCCAUAAGCAAGUCAAGCCUAGCUUACAUGUAUCCUUUUCCUUGGAUGUUUAUCUUUAUUAUUACUUGCUUUAUUUAUCCAUUCUUGUUAUAUAUUCCUGUUGUGUAUUAUAUUGCUUUGACCUUGUGGGAUAGGUAGUAUAGAGUGAGAAGCCCAAUAUGCAGGCUUAGAGAGUUCACCUAAGAUAUGAGGGCUAUUCGUAUUGACCCAUCGGGCGUAGUUGUCUUGAGGGGGAGAUACGAAGACCCCGCUUGGAGUAGAUUCUUUUUGGAGUUUUGCUGGCACGUGAGUUACGUUCACGUUGACGACCAUUCUUCCAAAGAGGGUCCAUGACUCCGAGGACCUUUGACAAUCCUUGGCUUUUGAGGUUGAAGGAAACUUCACUUAGAGGAGGUCAUCCCAAAAGUGUUGUUGGCUCACAAGUAUUUUGUGUCGACGACGACGACACUUUUGCCUCAUGAUCUAUGAAUCUAAGCAUCUUCAGAAGUCUUAGUACUCACCUCGUGAGGGUACAUGGGUUUCUUGUAGGGAAACUUAACCUCCAACGCACCUUGAAUCUACAGUGAUCCUGUCCUCUUGUAGCAUAUGCAUUCAUAACAUAUCGCAUUUGCAUACAUACUUGGGCCUUAUUCCUGGAGAACCCUAAAGGUUUGUGAUUGUGCAGUGAAUAUUCCAAGAUGGGCUAAGAAAGAAGGAAUGACCUUCCACUCAAGUUCAAGCUUCCUAGAAUGGAUACUCUAAUAACUCUCCACAACAAGAUCACUCCUUGUAAGAAGAACAACUUCAUCUGCAGAUAUGGGUGGAUCCUUGAUCUCCUUACUACUCCGAUAUAAGUCUCAGCUCUGGUGGCCUUAUCAGUAUUAUGACCCACCUCUCAGAUGUUUCACAUUCAAAGACUUCCAGUUGGCUCUAACUAUUGAAGAGUAUGAGAAGCUCCUAGGUUGGUAUGUGAAAGAACGUCCUCCCUUCACUAAGUUGGGCGAACCAUUGAUGCCUGAAACAGUCGCUGAAGCACUCCACCUACCUAUUGAAGAGGUUUCCCUUGGUCUGGGACCUAUGGGGUUUGCUAGAAAGUUCUUGGAAGACAAGGCAUGGGCCUUCGUCCUGUUCCCAAAUGACGACGACUACAUAAACCACUCCAUCAUCAGUGUGUUCGUGUUUGGGAAUCUUGUCCCUGCAUUGGUGUUUGAUGUGUACUAUUGCUUGCACACUAGGCAUGAGAAGAGAAAAGGUGUUGUGUUGAGCUGUGCUUCAUUGCUGUAUACUUGGCUCUUAUCUCACAUGCCUCAUAAGGGGCCUUGGGUGGACUUCCUGAGAGAUUUGAGGUGGUCCCAGAAGUUUGCUUCCCUUACUACCGAAGCUUUGGUUUGGUACCUUCAUACCUCCAACAUAGAACAAGUUAUCAUGAGCUGUGGAGACUUCCCGAAUGUUCCACCCAUGGGUCCAUGAGGUUGCAUCAAUUACAACCCUUCGUUGGCCCUGAGGCAAUUGGGAUACCCAAUGGAGAAUGAACCUAGAGCUGAAUUAUUGAAGGACUUCAUCUUUCCUGAUGUGGGAACAGAGAACCCAACUCUGUUACAGAGGGUUAAGAGAGCUUGGACCCAGAUUCAUCGCAAAGGUAAAGAGAUAGGCAAACGUGAUUGCCGAGCUAAAGAGCAGUACCGCCAAUGGGUGGUACAAAGGGCCAAAGAAGUCAAGUUGCCAUACAAUGUGGAUGUCCCGAUUCCUCCUCCACAACCAGAACCAGUACAUGCUUCUAAGGAAGAAGUAGAUGCACUGAAAGCAACUAUCGCACAGUUGACCAAAGAGAAUGAAAACUUGCGAUCGAAGCUUCACGCAUUGGAUAGAGACCAUGCUAAGUUGAAAAAAAAGAGUGAAGAGGAUCUUGAGCUUUUGUCAGAAAGCAGAAAGAAGGCUAAGCUUGAAGAAGACCUCAAAGAGAAAUACCAAGAGGGCUUAACUCAAGCAGAUAUGGGGCUGAGUUCUCUCCGAAAACAGCUAAAACAGACGGAGAAAGAAUGAUGGGACAACCACCAUUGGUUCGAGUUGGAUGUCAAAGAGAAGAAGGUAUUGAGAGAUGCAUCCGAACUAGAGAUUCAUGAUUUCAAGCUUUCCCUCCGCGAGGCCAAUGCCAAGAUAGAGGCGGAACGUUGUCUCAAAGAGGAAGCAGUCAGGGUUUCCUAUGUUACCCCUCAAAUAUGGAGAGAGAAAUGUCACAAGGUUGAGAUUUCCAUCUCAAGUUCUGAACAUUGGAAAAGUCGCUUUUCAGCUUUGAAGAAUGAGAGUUUGGGCUGGCUCAAGGAGAAGACUCAGAUGAAUAGCCUUCUUGACACCUAUGUUGGAUCUAUCAACUUGUUGCAACCUGCAUCCGCUUUGUACCGAGCCAAGUAUGAUUGCUUAGCAAGGCUCUGCAACGAAUUAACCCAAGAAGUUCCUUGGAAGCUAGAGGAUGCUCUAGAAGACGCUGAUGAGAAGACCACUCCCCACUCUAUACUCCGAUUCCUCUACCUCUGUGACCGAAUGAUAAAAAUGUUCAAAGUUGAGUUAAAGGAGAUGAAAGAGCGGAAAGAAAAACGCGUCAUUUGACCAUAUCUCCAUAAUUUCUUUUCCAUGUUUUGAAUUACUUUACCUAAUAUCUUUGUAAUUGUAAUAUCAAAUUCAUGAAUAAAAUUGCUUGAGUUGUGUGAAGUCGGUGUUCCAUCUUUAUGUGUCUAUUCUAUAAUGCUUUACUAUCGCAUCAUGAAUCAUAUAAGAUUUCCCCGAGAAUAAAAAAAACGAACAUGCAUCAUGCAUCAAUCAUUUAUCCAUGCAUUUCAUAAUAUAUCCAGUUGGUAUCACCAUUACUUUGGCCUUCUAUCUAGUAUUUCUCGGCGUCAAGUUGACUUCCCACUUCUAUAACACCCGAGCUAAGCAAAAGAUAGCUAUGGAAAGAAUUGAGCAAAACCAGACUGCCAUGCAGGAAGAGAUGGCUCAAGUGAGGGCCCAACUGGGGCAACUCAUGGACAUCAUGCUGAAUGUCGUUCACCGGCAAGAAGAGAAUCGCCAGGCUAACCCAGGAUCCAAUGUCAAUAUGAACACUGCCAAUCCCAUCAUAGGGAUGGGGUCCCGAUCGCCACUCAGACCCAUGUUGAAGGGAUGCCUACCAAUUUGAAUGCUGCUCACACUUACCAUGUCCCUAUCCAUGGGGGUUCCCAAGCUGGUACAAAGGACUACAAUGGAGACUUCUUCAUGCCUAGGAAUGAAUCAGUGUACAAACCUUUUGGACCACCACAGACUGAACUCGAAAGGAAACUCAAGAUGAUGGACGAAAGAGUUAGAGCCAUUGAAGGCCCUAACACUUUCGGGCUGGAAGCUGCUGAUAUGUGCUUAGUCCCAGGGGUCAAGAUCCCAACUAAGUUCAAAGUACCCACCUUUGAGAAAUAUCAGGUAAACACUUGUCCUAAGACCCAUAUCAGGUCUUACUGCAGGAAAAUGGAGGCUUAUUCGGGCGACGAAAAGCUACUGAUACAUUUCUUCUAAGACAAUCUAAGCAGAGCAUCCCUCGAAUGGUACAUGCAGCUUGAACGCUUGCAUGUGUGUUCUUGGAGAGAGUUAGCUGAAGCUUUCUUGAAGCACUACCAGUAUAACACUGAUAUGGCACCAAAUAGAACACAACUUCAGAGCUUGACUCAGAAAUCUGAAGAAUCCUUUAAAGAAUACGCACAACGUUGGAGGGACCUAGCUGCUAGGGUCCAGCCUCCCAUGCUUGAGAAGGAAUUGAUUGAUAUGUUCAUGGGAACAUUUCAAGGUCCAUAUUAUGAGAAGCUAGUACGGAGUACGUCUAUUGGAUUAUCUAAUUUGGUAGUCGCUGGGGAAAGGAUCGAGAGUGGUCUAAAGACUGGAAAAAUCCCAGGUCAUGCUAAUGCUGCUAAUGGGGCAAAAAAACCCUAUGGUGGUUUUCCCAAGAAAAAAGAGGGAGAAACCAACACUGCAUCAACCUCCAAGGGGAAAGGUAAAGCUUACCGGACCCCAUAUUAUCAAGUCGCAGAAGUGACUCCCAAUAACUAUCAACCGCCGACAUACGCCAUUCCUGUUGUUCCGCAGCAAGUCCCUUGUCAGCCGCAUGUCCAGUACCAGCAGUCGUACGCAUCCAGGCCAAACAAUUAUCAGCAAUACCAACCGUACCAACAACGUCCCAGGAGACAAGAGAGGAGGCUCGACCCUCUUCCCAUGAGUUGUAGUUAACUACUGAACCAUCUGUUGAAUGGUUCUCUUAUUAAGCUAAGGGAAGCCAAGCCUCUGCCGUCCCCACUCCCACCGGGCUACGAUGCAAAUUCACGUUGUGAGUUCCACACUGGGGCACCCGGCCACACUAUUGAUAAUUGUAAGGCGUUCCGGUAUAAAGUUCAAGAUCUCUCUGACUCAAAGGCCAUAUCAUUCGCGCCUGCGGGGCCCAAUGUUAGCAAUAAUCCGAUGCCUCCUCAUGCCGGACAUCCCUUGAACAUGAUUCAAGAGUCUGCUGUGGUCGACCGUAUCUCGAAGGUCGACAUGAUAAAGAAUCCAUUGCUAGAAGUAAAGGAAUAGUUUCUCUUAAGGAACGUCUUCCCCGGGUGCGCUUCCAACUGUGCACAAUGUGGAGAUACCCCACUAGGUUGUGAAAAGCUUAGGAAAGGUAUUCAAAUGCUGAUAGACCAGGGCGUUUUCCUAGUAGAACAUUCCUCAGCAGCCGAUGAGGUGUCUACUUUGGAGAUACCCUACUAUCCGGUACAAAUACCUGUUGAGAAUGCUCCCACAACACCCCUGGUGAUUACUGUGCCGACUCCUUUCCCAUAUGAAUUCUUGACUUCUAAUCCAUGUUUAGAUAGGUUUAAAGAAUUGAAUUAGUUUCACAUGCCAUGUUUGAUUUUAAU
rnacentral:lncRNA from 1 species